rnacentral:lncRNA from 1 species
CCUCGGCCUCCCAAAGUGCUAGGACUACAGGCGUGACCUCCUUGUUGCAGUUGGUUCAUUCCUGCAGUGAGCAGUCUCCUCAGGCCUCUGCACUUUACUAUGAUGAAUUUGCCAACCUGAUCCAACAUGAAAAGCUGGAUCCAAAAGCCCUGGAAUGGGUUGGGCAUACCAUCUGUAAUGAUUUCCAGGAUGCCUUCGUAGUGGACUCCUGUGUUGUUCCGGAAGGUGACUUUCCAUUUCCUGUGAAAGCACUGUACGGACUGGAAGAAUACGACACUCAGGAUGGGAUCGCCAUAAACCUCCUGCCGCUGCUGUUUUCUCAGGACUUUGCAAAAGAUGGGGGUCUGGUGACCUCACAGGAAUCAGGCCAAAAAUUGGUAUCUCCACUGUGCCUGGCUCCGUAUUUCCAGUUACUGAGACUUUAUGUGGAGAGACAGCAUAAUGGAAACUUGGAGGA